GAUGUUGAAAGAUUGUUGUUGAACCUGAUCACGUGUUUUUUUUUGGCGGGAAAGAGCACAUCGAAAACGUUAAACACAGAGAAGGGAGUCAAUUGCGGACAACCAUGUGGAAGUGUGCACAACAAAGAAACAGCACCUCCUUCUAUAACAGGCUCUGGAUUACAUUCGCAGGAGACAAAACACAGGUGUCAAAAUGAGUCUCUCUGCGGAGAUUGAAGAGGGAAGCAGUCCUAGUAACUGUGAAGACACUGAAGAGGAAGCCAGUUCUUCUGGAAUGAGUUCAUCAGGGAAUGAGGAAGCGAUGUCCCCUAAAAUACGUUUUCCUGUUGAACAGGACACUUGCAGUGAACUUAAAAGGUUCAAGACAGACAGACCAGUCUCACCUGUACCUAGUGGUAUCCCCAUGAAGAGUGACCAGUCUAUGGAACAUCCUGUUUUCUUCAGGGAGGGAGAAAUUUCCAAUGAACAAAGUUGAGACUUUCAAAUGAAUGCUUUUUCUUUAAAGCUACAGUCUAGGAUUGAUAAAUCAUUUUACUUAAUUUAAUCAUAUCUAGCCAUUGUUUACAUUUUUUUUACCCCUUUUUCUCCCCAAUUUCAUCAUAUCCAAU